rnacentral:rRNA from 1 species
GAUGAACGCUGGCGGCAGGCUUAACACAUGCAAGUCGAGCGCCCCGCAAGGGGAGCGGCAGACGGGUGAGUAACGCGUGGGAACGUACCCUUUGCUACGGAAUAGCUCCGGGAAACUGGAAUUAAUACCGUAUGUGCCCUACGGGGGAAAGAUUUAUAGGCAAAGGAUCGGCCCGAGUUGGAUUAGUUAGUUGGUGGGGUAAUGGCCUACCAAGGCGACGAUCCAUAGCUGGUCUGAGAGGAUGAUCAGCCACAUUGGGACUGAGAAACGGCCCAAACUCCUACGGGCGGCAGCAGUGGGGAAUAUUGGACAAUGGGCGCAAGCCUGAUCCAGCCAUGCCGCGUGAGUGAUGAAGGCCUUCGGGUUGUAAAGCUCUUUCGCCCGCGAAGAUAAUGACGGUAGGGGAAGAAGAAGCCCCGGCUAACUUCGUGCCAGCCGCCGCCGUAACAC